AGUGAACGCUGGCGGUAGGCCUAACACAUGCAAGUCGAACGGCAGCACAGUAAGAGCUUGCUCUUACGGGUGGCGAGUGGCGGACGGGUGAGGAAUACAUCGGAAUCUACUUUUUCGUGGGGGAUAACGUAGGGAAACUUACGCUAAUACCGCAUACGACCUACGUGUGAAAGCAGGGGAUCUUCGGACCUUGCGCGAUUGAAUGAGCCGAUGUCGGAUUAGCUAGUUGGCGGGGUAAAGGCCCACCAAGGCGACGAUCCGUAGCUGGUCUGAGAGGAUGAGCAGCCACACUGGAACUGAGACACGGUCCAGACUCCUACGGGAGGCAGCAGUGGGGAAUAUUGGACAAUGGGCGCAAGCCUGAUCCAGCCAUACCGCGUGGGUGAAGAAGGCCUUCGGGUUGUAAAGCCCUUUUGUUGGGAAAGAAAAGCAGCAGGUUAAUACCCCGCUGUUCUGACGGUACCCAAAGAAUAAGCACCGGCUAACUUCGUG
rnacentral:rRNA from 1 species